UAGCUUGCUCUUUCUUGGCUUGUUGUUCAACUUUGGCUCUUGAGUUGGCCUUUGAUGACAAAUUGGAAGACAUACAGAUCCACCUGCACCUUCCUCUGUUUAAAGGAAUUUGGCUUCGACCCUCAAGUUGGCGAUCACACACAUAUUUUGAAAUUUAAGACCCCUUGUCUUUUAGUUUCACGUGAUUAGCCAAAAUGCAACAUUAAAAUAUUAUCAAAUAUAGGGAAAUUAAAAUGUAAUUAUAUUAUAAUGAGAAAAAUUAAAAGAAGUAAUAUUUUAUAUAAUGCUAGUGGUAUUGUAUUUUUUUUCUUAAUUAUGAAGCAUGCACCAAAGACAAAGUUCAUGCUAAAGACAGAAAAGAAAAAGAUUAAUAAUAAUUAAUGACCGCUUACUAGUUAGUUCUAUUGUAUUUUAAUAAUUAUGACCGCUCAUUAUGUGGAUAGGGUUGACGAAGACUUACUUUGUUGGUUGGAAGUGGUUGACCAAGACCAUUUCCAGUCAAUAGACUGCUCUCCACUAUUCACUAUUUGUCUGUGGUCCCUUAUAGGGUAAAUUUAAAUUAUAAAAUAUCACUUAAUUAUUUAAUUUUAUCAUUUUAUCACCAACAAACUAAUAGUGAUAGCUUUUAAAAUUAAAAAAAUAAUAAUUUUAACUCUCAAUAUUUAUAAAUUACUUUAAUUUUAUUUUUAUUUUAAAAAUAAAUUUAACCUGUAAUAUAUAUAUUGUGUACAUUUCUUUUUCAGUUUUAUUUUUUAUAAUAUUUAGGAUUAAUUUUAAAAAAUGAAAAAAAAUAAAAAUUAUCUUAUUUUUGGGUGUUUUCAUUUUUUAUAUAUUUUAAAUUAAACUUAAUUAAUAAUUUUUUAUAACUUUUUAGAGGAAAGAUUAAAAGAAAUCUGUAAAAAUACCAAUUAUAUAUACUACGUAAAUGUCGAAAACAAUUUUCUCAUGAUGCUUUUAUAACUUGGUUUUUCUUUACCCUUUUGGUCAUUCUAUUUAAACUGGAAAAAAUAUUUUUGGUCAAUACGUAAUAAUCUAUUUGGUUCAAGAGAAAAUCAAUUUGUGAACCACAGAACAAGAUGAAUGCUUGACGGAGAAAGAAACCACCACUACACAACCACUUAAAAACGGCCAUCAGAUGAGUCAUUGUCAAACCAUUUUUAUCAAUAUUUUACCACCGAAAAUCCACUGGAAAGGUUUAUGGCAUAUUUUCCAAUUCCAUGGUAAAGUCAUUGAUGCUUUUAUUCCGCGAAAUAGGGGAAAGAGUGGGAAUAGGUUUGGGUUCAUUCGAUACGAAAGUGUGAGAGAUGUUACUAGAGCAAUAUAGAGACUGAACGAUUUUAGAUUGUAUGGAAAUCGCAUUGCUGUUAGUAUGGCAAAUGUUUUGCGUAAGGUCUUCUUUUUAAUGUAAAGUUUGAUUCGGUCAAUUUUUCAACUUGUAAAACACUUUUGAAGUUUCAUGGUGGAUGCUCUUGAUAAAGUUGGGGAGAUAGGAUUUUCUAUGUUUCAGGAUUGGUGUUGAUUGUGUUGUUUUGUUUUGAUGUUGCAUCAGUUUUUUGUUCUUUUUUAUGCUUGCAGCAUGCUUUGGUGUCUUUCUUUGUCGUUGUAAUGGAAUUUUGGUACCUAGUUCCUUUAUAAAACUCGCUUGAUUGUUGAUAAAAGAAAAAGGUUAAAUUGAUACUAUAUAUAAAUAUUAAAGAUUAAAAUUAUUAUUAUGCUAAUGUUAAAAGUUACUAUUAUUAAUCCGCUGAUGAUGAAAAAAAGACAAAACUGAAUAAUUGAGUGAUUAUGUUAUAAUUUUUUAUAAUUGAUUAAUUAAAAAAUAAAUUUACUAAUACUUGAGUGACAUUUUAUACCUUUACAAAAUUAAGUGAGUAUCAAUAUAAUUUACCUAUAAUUAUAAUAUAUAGAUUGCUUAGAAAUUUCAACAACAUACCACAUCAAAAGGAUCGAUAUGUGAUAAGAACAAAGACCAAUGACUACUGCAAUUACUCUUUUUAUUUAAUAUUGUUUGAAAUGAUCUUUAAAGUUACAUAUAUCUCUUACUCUCAAAAUAAAUUUUUUAAUACAAACAAUUCUCAGAUUGCAAGGUUAAAGCCAAGAUGCAAUAAGUUUCUUAAUGCAAAAAAAGAAAGCAAGUGCUCAAGAUUUUUGGUUUUACUCUAAAUAUUAACUUAUUAUUUAGAUAAAAAUUACUUUUAUUUUUCAUCUUUCUUAUUAUAUAUGCUCAAGAAAUUAAAAUUCAUAUGUUCAUCAUCACUAAAAUAUUAGAAAAAUAAAGGUUGAGAUAGUAAAUUAAAUAGCUUCAAGUAUUGGGACCUUAAGUGAUGUCCUUUCAUUAUUUUUUAUUCAGUUUACGUACAAAAACAAAAGCAUAUCAUUUGAAAGAUCAACGCGUAAUUAAAACAGAAGGCUCAACAAAAACUGAGGCAAUUACCAUUGGACUUAACAAAAGCAAAAGCAAAGGUAAAUGACCAACCCUAAUUAAGUAACAAUUGAUUUUUAAAAUAGAUAACAAAAAUUCGAAUAGAAAUAAAUGAAAAUUUAAGAGAUUUAGAAAAGAUUGACUACAAAAGGAUCCAAUUAAGAAAAAAAAUCUCAGCUUGCAAGUUCCACAUUAGGUAUUUAAAGAAUUUUAAAAGACUUAUAGUGGACUUGAAAUGAUAUAAACCUCCUUAUUCCACUUUCAUACCUUAAGCCUUCAACCCAUAGCACAUUUCCAAGUUCAUUUCCUUAAAACUUUGUCUCCUGCCAUCGCUUACUUCAAAUAUUUUUAAAAUGGGAAAAUUUAUAUGGUUGUGUCAAAUCCGUAGUCUUCUCUUAGUGCUGUUCUUUCUUUCCGUUGUCGGUUGUUGUCUGGGUUUGUCUAUCUGUUCUUUUAAGCCAACUCCUUUAUGUCUACCAGAAGACGCCUCAGCCUUGCUCCAAUUCAAGAACACCAUGUCCAUUGAUUAUUCUAGUGAUGAUUCCUCUUGCUAUCCCAAAACAAGUUACUGGAAUGAAAGCACCAAUUGCUGUUCAUGGAAAGGAGUCAGUUGUGAUAAGGCAACUGGUCAAGUGAUUGGCCUCGACCUUAGUUGCUCUUUGCUUGUUGGCUCUCUUUCUCCAAACACUAGCCUUUUCCGCCUUCAAGGACUCAAACGGUUCAACCUUGCUUCCAAUGAUUUCAAUGGUUCUUCGAUUCCGUCCGGGUUUAGUCAAUUAGUAAGUUUGAUACAUCUUGAUCUUUCUGAUUCUUCUUUCUCCGGUUCAGUUCCAUCGGAUAUUUCUUUGCCAGCAAAACUGAUUUCACUUGAUCUUUCUCAAAAUAACCAUUUGAAAUUUGAUAGCCAUAGUUUGGCCAUGCUUACACGCAACUUAUCUAAAUUAGAAAACCUUUUUCUUAACAGUGUAAAUAUGUUUGAUGUUGUGCCUACUUCCUUCAACAACUUGCCUUCGUCUCUAAAGCGUUUGCGUCUCGAGUUUUGUGAUUUAAAGGGGGAAUUCCCUAGUGAAAUAUUCCAGCUAACGUACCUUGAGCAUGUUGAUCUAAGUUGGAACUCUUUAUCAGGUUAUCUCCCUAAGUCCAAUUGGAGCAGUACCCUCAAGUACUUUAAACUUUACAAUAAUCACUUUGGAGGGUCCAUUCCUGCGUCCAUUGGAAACCUCACAAAAAUCACCUUUCUAGAUUUAUCCCUCAAUGAAUUCGAAGGUCAGCUUCCCUCAACGCUGUUCAGCCUUAAACAACUUACUCAUUUAGUCUUAUCAUCCAAUAGACUAGAAAAUCAUUUUAAUAAAUCUAACAUUUUAUUAAAAUAUCAAAUUUUGAGGUGAUCCGAUCACACCUAAUUAAAAGAAGAUUGGUGGCGACUAUAUUUUUUGUUUUCUAAAAAAAAUAAAAAUUCGAUUUUCGAAAAAAAGGUUUUGACAUUGAUCAGUGUGACUUAAUGAGUGAAUGCACGUAUCGUGGGUUCCAAACGUGUGACUUGUCAAAUUAGCAAUCAGGUGCGUGAAACUAACCCAAAACCUCGCUCGAAACUUGAGAAAAUUAUGAAAUAGGGAUUGUUUUCGAAACUACCUAGCCAAUGUAAUGCUCAAAUCCUCACCUUUGUGCUUGUUUAACAGCCUAAAUUAUAUCGCUAAUAGAUAAAAGAAAUCAACUCUCAUUAUAUCGCUAUGAUCACCCUUAACCUUGAUGACAAAGGUCAAAAAUAACAAUUAACUCGAGUGAAAAUAAAUUAAAAUAAAAACCAUAAUUAACUCUAGUGGCAAUGAAUUGAAACAAAAAUUAGGGUUAAUUUUUUCUCAUUUAUUUAAAAUUUAAAAUUGUGACCUUGAUAUUUUAAUUUUAUCGAUUCUUUAGUAUAAAAUAGCAGGGUGGAUGGAAAUCUUUUAUUUGAGAAACUGUUAUCUUGAUUUGGUGCAGAUAUUAAAUACGAAAUUAUGUUUAUAGUCUUUUAAUUUCAAGCUACUUUCACAUUAGCCCAAGAUCACAUUACUCUUUCCAUAGCAGCUAAGCCGGCAAUAACAUAAAAAACAGUAACCAUUCUUUUAAAUGAAUUAGUUUUUAUCCUGUGGAGUGUGGACAUGGUUGACCAAGACCAUACCAAGUCAAUUUACUGCUCUCCACUACUACUUUUAUUUUCAUCUAUUUGUCUCACAGUGAAAGGAGAAAUUACAUCAUAGCACACUUGUUCACACUAGCCAUCCCCUUUAGGACGGCCACUGCCAUUUCCUCUUAAUUCAGUGUAUAUAUAGGACAUAUAUUAAUUGCCAAAUGAAUCAACAAACUCACUACACUUACUGACAUUGACAUUCAAGAAAUCUGAUACAAUCAAACUAAAAUAGAGUAAAAUAAAACUCAAAAAAGACAAACGGUAAUUUAACAAACAGACUAAACAAAAAAAAACAUUGGUUUUAGAACAUGUGAAUCUUAUUCACACUUUAUCUUGCAGUUCGCCAAAACCUUUAACAGUUGAAUUUGCAUCUUUGAUGAGCUCUUAUCUUUGAUUAAAUUUGCGUCUUGAUGAGCUCGCAACUGUGGAUGAACUCACAGAUUUGAACGAGUUAGUAGGUACGCGAUCUGGUUUCAUCAUUUAAUGAAUGAUCACUCUGCAACAUUUAUAAUGGUGAAUAUACAAUCAAAUUAAAAUAGAGAAAGUAUAUCAUGUACGUUAACGCGUAAUUAAAAGAGUAAAAUAAAACAUAAAAGACAAAAUGAUAUUCUAUAAUUUAAAUAAUAUAAUAAAACAACAGCUGGAAGGAAAGGUCUUUUCUGAAUAAGUAAAAUAAGUUUUUUUAAACACUCGGGAAAGACUUUAUAACAGUCCACAUGAAAUUAGAGAAUAUAAAUAUAGGCCAAUGAAUCAACUUUGGCAUAGCAUCUCUAAAGCCUACAUCCCUCGACUUAUAGCAAAUUUCCAAUUCCGUUUUCCUUAAAACAUUGCCCCCUUUCAUAGCUUGUUCCUUAUUAGGUUCUAAAAAUGGGAAAGUUUAUAUGGUUGUGUCAAAUCCGUAGUCUCCUCUUUGUGCUGUUCUUUCUUUCCGUAGUUGAUUGUUCUCUGAGUUUGUCAUCCUCUUCUCUUAAUCCAACUCCUCCAUGUCUACCAGAAGACACUUCAGCCUUGCUCCAAUUCAAGAACACUAUGUCCAUUGAUGAUUCUGCUUUUUAUUCCUACUGUUAUCCCAAGACAAACUCCUGGAAUGAAAGCACCAACUGUUGCUCAUGGGAGGGAGUCACUUGUGAUAAGGCAACCGGUCAGGUGAUUAGCCUAGACCUUAGUUGCUCUAAGCUUGUUGGCUUCCUUUCUCCAAACACCACCCUUUUCCGCCUUCGAGGACUCAAACAACUUGACCUCUCUUCGAACAAUUUCAGUGCUUCUUCGAUUCCAUCUGGGUUUAAUCAGUUAGUAAGUCUGACACAUCUUGAUCUUUCUGAUUCUUUACUCAGUGGUUCAGUCCCAUCAGAUAUAUCUUUGCCAUCAAAAUUGAUUUCACUUGAUCUUUCUGGAAAUGAUCAUUUGAAAUUAGACAGUCAAGGUUUUGACAUGCUUACGCGCAACUUAUCUAAAUUAGAAAAUUUAUCCCUUAACUUAUUAAAUAUGUCUGAUGUUGUGCCUACAGCCUUCACUAACUUGCCUUCGUCUUUAAAGCGUUUGAGUCUCGAGAUUUGUGAUUUACAGGGGGAUAUCCCUAGUGAAAUAUUCCUGCUUGGGUACCUAGAGUAUGUUGAUCUACGUGGGAACUCUUUAACAGGUUAUCUCCCAAAGUCCAAUUGGAGUAGUCCCCUCAAAUUCCUCGACCUUUCCCGUAAUUAUUUCAGAGGGUCAAUUCCUUCUUCACUUGGAAACCUCACAAAAAUCACCUAUCUCGGUUUUUCUUAUAACAAAUUAGAGGGAAAAAUUCCAGAUGUCUUUGGAAACCUUAACAAACUUACUACUUUGGAUUUCUUUGAUUGUUAUUUUAGUGGUCAACUUCCCCCAUCGAUGUUCAACCUCACACAACUUACUUAUUUAGACUUAUCAGCCAAUAGGCUAGAAGGUCCCCUUCCAACUCAUGUAACAGGAUUUCAGAAUUUGAAGGACUUCAGUUUAAUUGAUAACUUACUAACAGGAGGAGUUCCAUCUUGGCUUUUUACUUUGCCAUCUUUAGAAUACUUAGGCCUCAGUAAUAACAGUCUCACAGGUCCAAUCAAUCAAAUUCAAAAGCCUAAUUCAAUUCAAUGGGUUGAUUUGGCGGAUAAUGACAUCCAUGGUGAAAUACCAAGUUCUUUCUUUGGUCUUUCAAAGCUUACCCACCUUGAUCUUUCAUCAAACAACUUGAGUGGAGUCAUUAGAUCGGAUAUGCUUUCAAAGCUAGAGAGUCUUGAAACGCUCUAUCUUUCGACAUAAUUUUAGUGGUGUUAUCAACUUAGAUGUUCCAUCAAAAUUGAAGAAUCUCACUGAAGUUAAUCUUUCCAAUAACAAGUUAUGGCAAUUCCCGAGUUUCUUGCGAUCUGCGAAAAGCUUGAGAAGUCUUGAUCUUUCCAAAAACAAUAUUCAGGGUUCAAUUUUCAAUUGGGAAUCGGAAGGUUGGGAACAAUUGAUUGAUUUGAAUCUUUACAACAAUUCGUUGACGAGUUUAGAGCAACUUCCAGGGAAGAAUAUUCUUACCCUAGAUCUUCGUUCCAACCAACUCCAAGGUCCUCUUCCAGCUCCGCCACCUUCAUUGCAAAAAUUCCUGAUUUCAGAUAACAAAUUGACAGGUGAAAUACCUCCUUCAAUUUGUAAUUUGACUUCACUUGAUAUUCUUGAUUUGUCUAAGAAUUACUUUGGUGGAAUUAUUCCAUCAUGUCUUGGAAAUUUUAGUCGGGGGAUCAGUAUCAUAAACCUACAAAAGAAUAACUUGAGUGGCAAAAUCCCUGAUUUUUGUGUUGAAUUAAGUAGUUUGACAACUCUUGCUCUUAAUGACAACAUAUUGGAAGGGUUAUUGCCACGGUCCUUUGUUAAUUGUACCGUGCUACGUUUUUUGAACCUAGCAAACAACACCUUGUACGAUCUCUUUCCCCGUUGGCUCAGUGUACUUCCAGUCCUGCAAGUUCUUAUCUUACGCUCUAAUAGAUUUUAUGGUCGCCUAGACCAUCCCAUGGCUACAUCUAGCUUUAUAAGCUUGCAAAUCCUUGAUCUCUCUAAAAAUGAGUUCACUGGCCCCUUUCCGAAAUAUUCUUCCAAAGUUUUAGACGUUCAAAAUUAGUUGCAGCUUCACAACUACAACCACAACAAGUGAGUAACUGUGGUAGAGACGCUGGUAAUGUAUCUUGUCUUCGUAGUCCUCGAGGUCCCGAAAACUAUAAAAACUAUGUGAAACUAACCAUGAAAAGGUUGGAGCUAGAGCUAGAUCUAGACAAAUCAUUAACUAAUUUCACACUCAUAGAUUUUUCAAACAAUCGAUUCAGUGGACGAAUCCCUAAGGCACUCGGCGAACUUCAUGCUCUUUUAGUGCUCAACCUCUCACACAACAGAUUAAACGAUACCCUACCACCGUCAUUGGCAAAUAUGGCAGCACUUGAAUCAUUAGAUCUGUCAUCUAACAAGUUUGGUGGUAGAAUUCCUUCCGAGUUAACGAAACUGACAUUUCUGGAAGUGCUAAACUUGUCGCAAAACAAUUUUUUCGGACCAAUUCCGGUUGGACAUCAAUUCAAUACUUUCGAUAUUGAUUCCUAUGCUGGAAACUUGGGUUUAUGCGGCUUCCCACUAUCAAAGAAAUGUGGUAGUGAGGAGGAACGAAAGCCACCAACACCAAAGCUUCUGGAAGAUGAAGAUUCUGCAAUACCCUUUAUUUGGGAACUUGUAAUGAUGGGGUAUGGGUGCGGAGUAGUGUUGGGAUUGAGUACGGGAUACAUAGUAUUCACAACUGGAAGACCGUGGUGGUUGGUUAGAAUGGUUGAGAGAGACUGGCAGAGGAAUUUUACAAGAUGGGCCCGCAGGAUUGGAAGAAAAAGGAACUAGCACUUCAUCCAAAUUGCAUAGGUGAGAUUCAAAUAUGUUUUGCUUAAACUUGGACCAAAAAUUGUAUUUACUUUUUAAUUGAUGAUGCAUAUAUAGUAAUUUAGACUUAAUUUUUCCAUUCUAUUUGUCAUAGUUGGACCUGAGGUGAAUUAGAGGGAAAAUGCAGAACUGCUUCUGUAAGAUUUGGGUCGAAGCCUCUGUUCUUACUUUUUGGGUUCAUUUUCAAGGCAGUGGUUUAAAGAUAUGAUUAAGGUGUUGUUAGAGGAUAGCUUGCUCUUUCUUGGCUUGUUGUUCAACUUUGGCUCUUGAGUUGGCCUUUGAUGACAAAUUGGAAGACAUACAGAUCCACCUGCACCUUCCCCUGUUUAAAGGAAUUUGGCUUCGACCCUCAAGUUGGCGUUCACACACGUUUAUUUUGAAAUUUAAGACCCCUUGUCUUUUAGUUUCAUGUGAUUAGCCAAAAUGCAACAUUAAAAUAUUAUCAAAUAUAGGGAAAUUAAAAUGUAAUUAUAUUAUAAUGAGAAAAAUUAAAAGAAGUAAUAUUUUAUAUAAUGC
rnacentral:lncRNA from 1 species